GAUGAACGCUGGCGGCGUGCCUAAUACAUGCAAGUCGAACGCGCCGAGAAGGGAACUUGUUCCUUUCAACGCGAGUGGCGAACGGGUGAGUAACACGUGGGAAACCUACCCUUCAGCGGGGGAUAACCAUCGGAAAAGAAGGAUAAUAACGCCUAGGUGGUUCAGUUGCAUUGCUGGGAUGGGGAAGAACGCUUCGGCUGGCACCGAAGGGUGGUUCCGCGGUGCAUUAGCUAGACGGUGGGGUAACGGCCUACCGUGGCUUUGAUGCAUAGCCGACCUGAGAGGGUGAUCGGCCACAUUGGGACUGAGACACGGCCCAAACUCCUACGGGAGGCAGCAGUAGGGAAUCUUCCGCAAUGGACGCAAGUCUGACGGAGCAACGCCGCGUGUGUGAAGAAGGUCUUCGGAUCGUAAAGCACUGUUAUCAGAGAAGAAUAGCCUAUAGAGUAACUGUUAUAGGUUUGACGGUAACUGAUCAGAAAGCCACGGCUAACUACGUG
rnacentral:rRNA from 1 species